AACGAACGCUGGCGGCAGGCUUAACACAUGCAAGUCGAACGCCCCGCAAUGGUACUUGCAGCCGGUUGAGUAACGCGUGGGAACAUACCCUUUCCUGCGGAAUAGCUCCGGGAAACUGGAAUUAAUACCGCAUACGCCCUACGGGGGAAAGAUUUAUCGGGGAAGGAUUGGCCCGCGUUUGAUUAGCUAGUUGGUGGGGUAAAGGCCUACCAAGGCGACGAUCCAUAGCUGGUCUGAGAGGAUGAUCAGACACAUUGGGACUGAGACACGGCCCAAACUCCUACGGGAGGAAGCAGUGGGGAAUAUUGGACAAUGGGCGCAAGAAUGAGCCAGCCAUGCCGCGUGAGUGAGGAAGGAGUUAGGGUUGUAAAGCUCUGUCAACGAUGAAGAUAAUGACGGUAGUCGGAGAAGAAGCCACGGCUAACUUCGUG
rnacentral:rRNA from 1 species